rnacentral:rRNA from 1 species
UACGUAGGUGGCAAGCGUUGUCCGGAUUUAUUGGGUUUAAAGGGUGCGUAGGCGGCUUGAUAAGUCAGUGGUGAAAGCCGAUCGCUUAAACGAUCGAACUGCCAUUGAUACUGCCAGGCUUGAGUAUAGUUGAGGUAGGCGGAAUUGACAGUGUAGCGGUGAAAUGCAUAGAUAUUGUCAAGAACACCAAUUGCGAAGGCAGCUUACUAAAGUAUAACUGACGCUGAGGCACGAAAAGUGCGGGGGAU